rnacentral:rRNA from 1 species
AAACAUCGCCUCCUGCAACACAACCAAGUAUAGGAGGUCCAGCCUGCCCAGUGACUACAAGUUCAACGGCCGCGGUAUUUUGACCGUGCAAAGGUAGCGCAAUCACUUGUCUUUUAAAUAGAGACCUGUAUGAAUGGCUAAACGAGGGCUUAACUGUCUCCCAUUUCCAGUCAGUGAAAUUGAUCUGCCCGUGCAGAAGCGGACAUAAUAAUACAAGACGAGAAGACCCUUUGGAGCUUAAGGUACAAAAUUCAACCAUGUCAAACAACUCACUAAAAAGCAAAAACUUUGUGGAAAAUGAAAUUUUACCUUCGGUUGGGGCGACCACGGAGAAAAAAUAAGCCUCCAAGUGGAUUGGGAAAAUUUUCCUAAAACCAAGAGAGACAUCUCUAAGCCACAGAACUUCUGACCAAACAUGAUCCGGCCACAAAACCGAUCAACGAACCAAGUUACCCUAGGGAUAACAGCGCAAUCCUCUCCCAGAGUCCAUAUCGACGAGGGGGUUUACGACCUCGAUGUUGGAUCAGGACAUCCUAAUGGUGCAGCCGCUAUUAAGGGUUCGUUUGUUCAACGAUUAAAGUCCUACGUGA